AUUGAACGCUGGCGGCAGGCUUAACACAUGCAAGUCGAACGAGUGGCGGACGGGUGAGUAAUGUCUGGGAAACUGCCCGAUGGCGGGGGAUAACUACUGGAAACAGUAGCUAAUACCGCAUACCAUCGGAUGUGCCCAUAUGGGAUUAGCUAGUUGGUGGGGUAACGGCUCACCUAGGCGACGAUCCCUAGCUGGUUUGAGAGGACGACCAGCCACACUGGAACUGAGACACGGUCCAGACUCCUACGGGAGGCAGCAGUGGGGAAUUUUGGACAAUGGGGGAAAGCCUGAUGCAGCCAUGCCGCGUGUAUGAUGAAGGCCUUCGGGUUGUAAAGUACUUUCAGCGGAGAGGCGUUAUCCGCAGAAGAAGCACCGGCUAACUCCGUGCCAGCAGCCGCGGUAAUAC
rnacentral:rRNA from 1 species